rfam:Kibdelosporangium aridum strain DSM 43828 genome assembly, contig: LX79DRAFT_scaffold00006.6
CCGGCUCCGGUUCACCCCGAGUGCGUGUGGGGACCCGGCGGCC